rnacentral:rRNA from 2 species
UACGAUGAAGAGUUUGAUCCUGGCUCAGGAUGAACGCUAGCGGCAGGCUUAACACAUGCAAGUCGAGGGGUAGAAUAGCAAUAUUUGAGACCGGCGCACGGGUGCGUAACGCGUAUGCAAUCUACCUUUUACAGAGGGAUAGCCCAGAGAAAUUUGGAUUAAUACCUCAUAGUAUAGUGAGUUGGCAUCAACACACUAUUAAAGUCACAACGGUAAAAGAUGAGCAUGCGUCCCAUUAGCUAGUUGGUAAGGUAACGGCUUACCAAGGCAACGAUGGGUAGGGGUCCUGAGAGGGAGAUCCCCCACACUGGUACUGAGACACGGACCAGACUCCUACGGGAGGCAGCAGUGAGGAAUAUUGGUCAAUGGGCGCAAGCCUGAACCAGCCAUGCCGCGUGCAGGAUGACGGUCCUAUGGAUUGUAAACUGCUUUUGCACAGGAAGAAACACUCGGUCGUGACCGAGCUUGACGGUACUGUGAGAAUAAGGAUCGGCUAACUCCGUGCCAGCAGCCGCGGUAAUACGGAGGAUCCAAGCGUUAUCCGGAAUCAUUGGGUUUAAAGGGUCCGUAGGCGGCCAGAUAAGUCAGUGGUGAAAGCCCAUCGCUCAACGAUGGAACGGCCAUUGAUACUGUUUGGCUUGAAUUAUUUGGAAGUAACUAGAAUAUGUAGUGUAGCGGUGAAAUGCUUAGAGAUUACAUGGAAUACCAAUUGCGAAGGCAGGUUACUACAAAUUGAUUGACGCUGAUGGACGAAAGCGUGGGUAGCGAACAGGAUUAGAUACCCUGGUAGUCCACGCCGUAAACGAUGGAUACUAGCUGUUGGGAGCAAUCUCAGUGGCUAAGCGAAAGUGAUAAGUAUCCCACCUGGGGAGUACGUUCGCAAGAAUGAAACUCAAAGGAAUUGACGGGGGCCCGCACAAGCGGUGGAGCAUGUGGUUUAAUUCGAUGAUACGCGAGGAACCUUACCAAGGCUUAAAUGUAGAUUGACCGGUUUGGAAACAGACUUUUCGCAAGACAAUUUACAAGGUGCUGCAUGGUUGUCGUCAGCUCGUGCCGUGAGGUGUCAGGUUAAGUCCUAUAACGAGCGCAACCCCUGUUGUUAGUUGCCAGCGAGUCAUGUCGGGAACUCUAGCAAGACUGCCAGUGUAUACUGUGAGGAAGG